rnacentral:rRNA from 1 species
GAUGAACGCUGGCGGCGUGCCUAAUACAUGCAAGUCGAGCGAACGGACGAGAAGCUUGCUUCUCUGAUGUUAGCGGCGGACGGGUGAGUACCACGUGGAUAACCUACCUAUAAGACUGGGAUAACUUCGGGAAACCGGAGCUAAUACCGGAUAAUAUUUUGAACCGCAUGGUUCAAAAGUGAAAGACGGUCUUGCUGUCACUUAUAGAUGGAUCCGCGCUGCAUUAGCUAGUUGGUAAGGUAACGGCUUACCAAGGCAACGAUGCAUAGCCGACCUGAGAGGGUGAUCAGCCACACUGGAACUGAGACACGGUCCAGACUCCUACGGGAGGCAGCAGUAGGGAAUCUUCCGCAAUGGGCGAAAGCCUGACGGAGCAACGCCGCGUGAGUGAUGAAGGUCUUCGGAUCGUAAAACUCUGUUAUUAGGGAAGAACAUAUGUGUAAGUAACUGUGCACAUCUUGACGGUACCUAAUCAGAAAGCCACGGCUAACUACGUG